UUGUUGAACACUGGUGGUUCCGUGGUGUUGGGAGUGUUGGGCACAAUGCACGCAGGUAUUGUAUGGUGGCUGGACAUUGUUCCAGGUCAUCAUCACAACUUGCAGCGCUUACAGAAUACCGUUCGUCAUGUCUUCAGUUUAGACAGGGUUUUCUUUCGGUGCUUACUAGAGACCUUACGAACCAGACUGAUCUGGUUGAGCACAACAUAAUAAUAAUAUAUUUGAAUCAUACCUAUACUUGUUAUUGAGUCCCUGUUUGGGGUUGUGGUCAAUAGACAGACACGUACUUCCUCUUUCAUAGACAUCAUAUACAUACAUCUUUAUUUUCCAAGCAAUGCCGGGUGCUCCUGCUAGGUAUCACAUACAUUAGAGCUAGUCUUCUAGAGAGCAAGUGAUAUUGACAAGAUUUAAAUGCAGACAGUCUAUGAGGAACCCGACGGUGUUUAUGCAGACAUGAAAUAGUUAGUCUAUCUGAGCUAGCUGCUCUUUGGAGUAAUUUUAGUUUGAUUGGUUGAAGGAAAGUGUUUGAUUGUUUAUAACAUUGAAGUACUGUUUGCUGGAUUAUUGUGAUUGGUUGUUUCAUAUUGUACUGUGUAAUGUAUUGCCUUUUAGUGUUCAUUUGAUUUGAAUUCAUGUGACAAUUCAUACAGCUCAAAUAGGAGGUCAAUUGAAUCAAAACUGCGCUCAGAUGGCAGACUUCGCAGAAAUUAUAAAUGCUACUAUGACCCUGAUGAUUACAACGAUGUGGUUAUGGCAAGAAAGUUUUCAUUGGCUGCUGCGAUUAAUGCAUUAUUUUGGCCUAACUUUUUUUUCCUGCUUGGAGUGUGCCUUGUGGUUUUGGCAAUGUGUUGCAAAAUUGACUGAAGAAGAAAUUCUUGCGAGAGAGCUGGGUCAC